UUACGACCAUAUCACGUUGAAACACCGGAUCUUGUACGAUCACCGAAAUUAAGCAAAGUCCAGCCUGGUCAGUACCUAGAUGGGGGACCGCUUGGGAAUACCAGGAGCUGUA